UCCUACGGGGCGCAGCAGUGGGGGAUAUUGCACAAUGGGGGGAACCCUGAUGCAGCGACGCCGCGUGGGUGAAGGAGCGUUUCGGCGCGUAAAGCCCUAUCGGCAGGGAAGAAGAUGACGGUACCUGACCAAGAAGCCCCGGCUAACUACGUGCCAGCAGCCGCGGUAAUACGUAGGGGGCAAGCGUUAUCCGGAUUUACUGGGUGAAACGGGGGCGCAGACGGCAAUGCAAGCCAGGAGGGAAAGCCAGGGGCCCAACCACGGGACUGGUCUUGGAACUGCAUGGCUGGAGUAAA
rnacentral:rRNA from 1 species